CCGCAUCAAAAUGAGCUCGCCACUCUCGAAGAAAAAGUGUUCAAGUGCAGACGCAGUGUAACUGAAAAAUCAAGUUUAAUUAGUAUAAAGAAAUUUUCACUCUUGCUGGCUAGCAAGCAGUAAUUGAUUCCAAAAAUGGAAAAGUGUAAAAAUCGCGUCGCUGAAGCCGAGCAGCAGUACAAGUAUUGGAAAUUGACUCCAGGGCCCACGUAGUAUUUGUCCACGUCGGGCAUUAUUUGCUCACGAGUUGGAAACAAAGAAACCAGAUCCAUUGGAAAAGAUGCGUAUUAGUCAUCGAUUUUGCUGGUCAGCGUCGGGGAAUUUCGCAAUGCGACAGGCAGUUUUGGCGUUGCAGAGGCAGAGUUUCUAGAUUUUGGCUAGAAAGUGACCUACUAGGCAGAGGCAGUCUAAGGCAGUCUAACCAGGAAAAGCGGGACCAUUCUCUGAGUCGGAUGGCGACGGCCCUGACGUGCGGAUUUGAUAAAUUGGGAUAGGAAGCCAGGUAUACAUACACAGCAGCGAAACCAGCGUGUUCUAUUUCUAUUCGUAAGCCCAACCUAAGCCUAAGACGUAGUUAAUAAAAACUCAUGGAUCUCUGCGUUUUCAAACGUCGCUUUGAGAGUCAUUUUUUAGUAAAUGCGAUUUCACCAUGUUGCGUAAGAGGGAAUAUUUUCCCCAGUAUUAUACAUUUCUAUUUAAAUACAAGUCGAAUGUUCUCGAUUCUCGUUUGCAACCCCCGGAUCGAAAGGCCACCAACUGUCUCUCUCUAAAAAUAGCGUACUCAAACGCCCUGUUUACGUCUGUUACCGCUCGGGUAUACAUACACAUUGCCACAUAUAUAUUCAGAGCCCAUACAUAUGGAAGUAUUGUAAUUGGAUGGCAACGGCAACUGCUGAGGUGUACAUUGUACACUGGCCGUGCUCUUUGUUUGCCUUUCCCUCCGGUUUGUUUGCUCCCCGAUAACGAUCCAUAUUGUCUUUCAGCGGAAAACUUUCCAGCUUGACGAUGUCUCACCGCGUUUCCCUCGCUUCUAUUGGCAUUCUUAUUUAUCUAGUUCGUAGUCGUUUAACAUUUACUUAGUUGUUAAUCAUAUUUGUAACCAUCUCUAUAUGCAACUCUGCCAUACCACCUAACCAAGCAAUAUGUAUUUCUUUCUCUAAACUUUAUAGUUGGGCGUUGAAAGUUGAUAUCGAUCCGUGAAAAGUCGAUCCCUGCGCGAGCAUGGGGGUAUAUGGGUGCUAAAAACGCACCCGGCCCGAAUGCAGCGUUUUUCCGAAAGCUGUGUCUGCGACCGUGACUGAGAUUACAUAUGUUAUGUAUACGAGUAUAUAUAGUGUCUGGGGUCGCGGACCAGCCAGGGUGCUCGAUUCUAUCAGAUUGAUUGAGCGGAUUGUGUUAUAGGAACACUGGUGUAUCGACUUCUCUGCUCCACUAAGGGUGAACGGGAACCAACCGAAAGGCCCUCUGUGGCUCACUAUCAUCGAACAAAGUUCCACAACGGGCAGACAAACAAACAAGUGAUCAGUUGAACUUGGCAGCGUAUUGAAUCUGUUCGAUGACACAUCGUCUCUGGAUUAGUAAUUGAACCAACGAGGUCGAAUACCCUGCCAGUUGGUUGAAAUUAAUUAAUUUUGUUUUUAUAUUCAGUUGUAAAGUCAAUACGGAAGAUACUUCCACACCAACAAUGUCUCACUCUUGUUCUUAAAUACCUGAAAAUGUUAAAAUUUUUGUUUUUUUACACUUCACGAAUUAAGAUAUACCUGUACUGAUGUAAAUUUACUUGUCGAAUCACAACAAAAAUGGAAAAAAGAUUAACAAAAGAGCUUCUUAAUGGAAAAGCCACAGAAAAAGUGAAUAAAAAAUUUUAAAAUUCCAAUAAUAAAUCUCGAAACAUUCGCUCGUCAUAUUUUUUAUUUCAAGCUUAGAUCCGAUUUCAGUUAUUCCAUCGAACUAAAGGGUAGCGUUACCUGAAUUAAUCCACGAAGGAAGGGGCUUUAUAUCAAUAUGCCAAGUAGUCUUCGCCUAUCAAACAAAUACACUUUGAUAUUCUCAAAUCUAAUCGAAAAAUCGGAACAACUGUCCCUAAUCUCUGUUGAACGCUGAAAGUCGGUAUUGGAAAGAGCACAUAAAGGUUUUAAAGUUCAGCUUUAAAGUAUGUAUAUUCCGGAAUUAUAUUUCUUCACAUUUUUAGGACGCCUAUAUUUGGAGGGCACAAUUGUUUUAAUGUAUAACAAUUAUUACAUUAAUGAACAUAAAUAUAAGGAAAUAAUAUUUUUUAUAACUAAUCAAUUAUUGGGUAAUUUAAUUUUAAUAAACCACUUUUAAGUAUUAAAUAAAUCUUCCCCUGUAUUUCAGCCCAAUAACUUAAAAAGCUCAAUUAUAAUAAAUAAAUUGUUUUCAAAAAAUAAAAAUAUCUGGUAUACCAAUAUACUGUAAGUCUAUGGAUCAAGCAGAUAAAUCAAAAAAUAUACAGGAAAUGAAUUGUAUGUCUAGACUUAAGAACUAAAGCCUUCAAAACUAAAAAGACACAGCGACUAAACAGGUAGGAUUUUGGGAUACAUAUUUAAAUAUGCGUAUAUUGAAAAAGUACGUAAUAUAGACAGAAUAAGCUUAAGAAUUGACAAUUAAGAAAAUCCUAUUAAUAUUCAAAUUUCAGGUACGGUUUUUUAAGAUAUUAUUUCGUAAAAAACUCUAAAACGGCAAUUAGUAAAAAUCGAAAAAGGUGUUAGUAAAAUCGAAUUAUGUAAGGUUUUUUAUAAGGGAAGAGCUUUACGUAAUUCCUUUGUGAAUUUGUUGGUGUUUUUUCAUAAAAAAGUUUUUUGAAAACUUGUUAUAUUCUCUUCAUGAUAUAAGGAACACAUAUUGUUAAAAUUGAAAUGGUGGAUUAUGAAUAAUUGAAAGGUGUGGUAACUGGGAUGUCGGUCUUUUAAAACCAUUAUUAUUGUCUGAAUACUAGAAAAAAAUUAGGUAGAAACUUUACAAAAGUCAAAAGUAAAAGAUAUGCUAAUUAUAAAAAAUCCCAAAAGGUGCUGAAAUAUAAUUAAGUGGGGUUUCUUUUACAAAAAAUUGUCUACGUAUUAGAAAAAAAAUAGGUAGGAACCUUUAUCUGUCAAACUGACUUUCGCCGCUUGAUAAAUGACGUGCAAAUUUGGAAAAUCUGAAAAGGUUUUAUUAGAAACUGAAUUAGGUAGUGUUUCUUCCGAAGGUAUUAUUAUUUUUAUUAAUAUUACUAUUAUUAUUAAUUUUAUUAUUAUUAUUAAUAAUAUUAUUAUUAUUUAAAUUCACAGAGGUAUGGUGUUUUUAAUUAUUACAAAUUAUAACAAAAUGUGUUGUUAGUAAAAUCUAUUUAUGUAGGGUUUCUUAAUAGGGAAAUUAAAACUUAUGGUAAAUCCAUAUUUCCAUUAUUUCUUAAAGUUUAACUGAAAAGUUCUUAAAUAACUUAGGUAGAAACUUUAUUUUGUCAUAAUGACUCUCUCCACAUGAUAAAAUUUAUGUAAAUUAUCUUAAAAAGUUCUUUAUUAAACACAGAAUUUGGAAUGGUUUCGGCAUUUACACCAUUUCAGGGUGUAAACUUUUGAAUAAGUGAAAGAUUAGCAACUUGAAAAUAUGACCUUUAAAACAUACAUUUUUCCGUCAAUGGCAAUGUGAUUAAAAAUCGGUUCAUUACUCUCUUUAAAUGUUUAAAAUUUUCGUACACGCUUUGCAUGUACACAAAACUUAAUUGAGAUGUUUUGGCAAUAAGCACUCAUUUAAAUUCUGCCCAUAUAAAGGGGUAGAGUUUUUUCGUGUUUGCCUAUUCAAGAUCGUAAAUUUCUUUAAAACUAAAAUAGGUAGCAACUUGAAAAAAUAUAAGGAAUAUUCAAAUUUCAAAAACCUAAAAAGGUGUUGUAUUGAUAACUAAAUUUAAAAAGUUUUCUUUAUGUGGCAAGCCCAUUAAAUAUUGUAAACUUCUGAAUAACAGGGAGGAAGGACUUUUAAUAAUCUGUAAUUCCUUUUUUUGUGUUAUUUCAUAAAAAAUUAUCUGUUAACCAGUAACAAUUUCGUAGAAAACACAAUAGGUAAAACUGACUUUCUCCAAAUGAUAAAAAUAUGCAAAUUUUAAAAAUCUAAAAAGGUGUAUUAAAAAAUAAAUUAAAAUGGGUUUCUCGACAAGGUACGCCCUUUCAAGGUUGUUUAUAAUCUGAAUAACUGCAAUAGUUGGCAACUCGGAAGGUAAGGACUUUUAAAACAUACUGAAAUCGCUCGUGACUUUUUGGUGCUGUUUCAUAAAAAAAGGUUUAUAAAUUCGUACAAAAUAAUGUAGGAACUUUAAUCUGUCAAACUGACUAUCUCCACUUCAUAAAAGGCACACAAAAUUAAAAAAUCAAAAUAAGUAUUAUAUUAAAUACUAAAAAAGGUAAGGUGUCUUAAUAAAAUUUGCCAAUGCAAGAUCGGCUUAUAUCUGAAAUAUUGAGAAAAUCGAAAGGCAGGGCUUUUAAAACAUAUGGUAAUCCCUCGUGACUUUUUGGGGUUAUUUCGUAAAAAAUUAUUAACGAAUUAGAGAAAAAUUAGGUAGGAACUUAAAUCGGUCGAACUGACUAUCCCCACUUCAUAAAUAUUUGCAAAAUUAAAAAAUCAAAAUAAGUGCUGUAUUAAAAACUGAAUAAGGUAGGGUGUCUUUAUAAGGUUUGCCCAUGCAAGAUCGUACACUUUUUAAUAUCUGAAAUAUUUAGAAAAUCGGAAAAUAGGGCUUUAAAAACAUAUGAUAAUCCCUCGUGAUUUUUUGGUGUUAUAUCGUAAGAAAUGGCUUACAAAUUAGUACAAAAUUAGGUAGGAACUUUAAUCUUUCAAACAGACUAUCUUCAUUUUAUAAAAAAUAUGCAAAUAUAUCAAAUUAAAAAAGUUGUUGUAUUAAAAACUACAUUAGGUAGGGUUUCUAAAUAAGGUCCUCCUCAUCAAGAUCGGAAACUAAAUAACUCUUAAAACAUACGGUAUUCCCUCGAGAUUUUUUAGUGUUAUUUCGUAAAAAAUGAUUUACGAAUUAGAACAAAAUUAGGUACGAACUUAAAUCGGUCGAACUGACUAUCUCGACUUCAUAAAAUAUAAGCAAAAUUAAAAAAAUCAAAAAUAGUGUGGUAUUAAAAACCAAACUAGGUAGGGUGUCUUAAUAAAAUUUGCCCAUGCGAACCUUUCUUCCAUUCAAGAUCGUAAACUUUUGUAUAACUAUAUUCCUCGUGAAUUUUUGGUAAUAUUUCGUAAAAAUGGUUUAAAAAAUAGUACAAAAUUAGGUAGGAACUUUAGUCUGCCACGCUGAUUACCUACAAUUCAUAAAAUAUAAAACUUUCUCCACAUAAUAAAAAAUUUAACAAAUCUAAAAAGUUGUUGUAUUGACAACUACAUUUUGAAAGGUUAUUUUAUAUGGCAAGCACAUUAAAGAUCGUAAUUUGGGAGGAAGGACUUUUAAAUACUACGGUAAUUUCUUGUGAUUUUGGUUUUAUUUCAUACAAAAUUAUCUGUUAACCAGUAACAAUUUCGUUGAAAAUGAAAUGUGUCAAACUGACUUUCUCCAAAUGAUAAAAAUAUGCAAAUUUUAAAAAUCUAAAAAGGUGUUUUAUAAACUAAAUAAAAAUGUGUUUCUCGACAAGGUCCGCCCAUUCAAGAUCGUAAACUUCUAAAUAACUGCAAUAGUUGGCAACAUUUCUAAAUAUCUGAUAUAUUUAGAAAAUCGCAAGGUAGGGCUUUUAAAACAUAUGGUAAUCCCUCGUGAUUUUUUGGUGUUAUAUCGUAAGAAAUGGCUUUCAAAUUAGUACAAAAUUAGGUAGGAACUUUUAUCUAUUAAAUGUGCUAUUUUAUCCACUGGAUAAAAUAUAUUCAAAUUUCCAAAGUCAAAAAAAGGUGUUGUAUUAAAACCUUAAUAAGGUAGGGUUUCUUAAUAAGGUUUGCCCAAUCAAGAUCGUAAACUUCUCAAUAGCUGAAAUUGUUACCAAUUCGACAUGUAGGACUUUUAAAACAUAUGGUAAUCCCUAGUGACUUUUUGGGGUUAUUUCGUAAAAAAGUAUUAACGAAUUAAAGAAAAAUUAGGUAGGAACUUAAAUCGGUCGAACCUACUAUCUCCACUUCAUAAAUAUUUGCAAAAUUAAAAAAUCAAAAUAAGUGCUGUAUUAAAAACUGAAUAAGGUAGGGUGUCUUUAUAAGGUUUGCCCAUGCAAGAUCGUACACUUUUUAAUAUCUGAAAUAUUUAGAAAAUCGGAAGGUAGGGCUUUAAAAACAUAUGAUAAUCCCUCGUGAUUUUUUGGUGUUAUAUCGUAAGAAAUGGCUUACAAAUUAGUACAAAAUUAGAAAGGAACUUUAAUCUUUCAAACAGACUAUCUUCAUUUUAUAAAAAAUAUGCAAAUAUAUCAAAUUAAAAAAGGUGUUGUAUUAAAAACUAAAUUAGGUAGGGUUUCUAAAUAAGGUCCUCCUCAUCAAGAUCGGAAACUAAAUAACUCUUAAAACAUACGGUAUUCCCUCGAGAUCUUUUUAGUGUUAUUUCGUAAAAAAUGAUUUAUAAAUCAGAACAAAAUUACGUAGGAACUUAAAUCGGUCGAACUGACUAUCUCGACUUCAUAAAAUAUAUGCAAAAUUAAAAAAAUCAAAAAUAGUGUGGUAUUGAAAACCAAACUAGGUAGGGUGUCUUAAUAAAAUGCCAAGCUGCAAAAUUAGGUAGGGUUUCUAAAUAAGGUCCUCCUCAUCAAGAUCGGAAACUAAAUAACUCUUAAAACAUACGGUAUUCCCUCGAGAUUUUUUAGUGUUAUUUCGUAAAAAAUGAUUUACGAAUUAGAACAAAAUUAGGUACGAACUUAAAUCGGUCGAACUGACUAUCUCGACUUCAUAAAAUAUAAGCAAAAUUAAAAAAAUCAAAAAUAGUGUGGUAUUAAAAACCAAACUAGGUAGGGUGUCUUAAUAAAAUUUGCCCAUGCGAACCUUUCUUCCAUUCAAGAUCGUAAACUUUUGUAUAACUAUAUUCCUCGUGAAUUUUUGGUAAUAUUUCGUAAAAAUGGUUUAAAAAAUAGUACAAAAUUAGGUAGGAACUUUAGUCUGCCACGCUGAUUACCUACAAUUCAUAAAAUAUAAAACUUUCUCCACAUAAUAAAAAAUUUAACAAAUCUAAAAAGUUGUUGUAUUGACAACUACAUUUUGAAAGGUUAUUUUAUAUGGCAAGCACAUUAAAGAUCGUAAUUUGGGAGGAAGGACUUUUAAAUACUACGGUAAUUCCUUGUGAUUUUGGUUUUAUUUCAUACAAAAUUAUCUGUUAACCAGUAACAAUUUCGUUGAAAAUGAAAUGUGUCAAACUGACUUUCUCCAAAUGAUAAAAAUAUGCAAAUUUUAAAAAUCUAAAAAGGUGUUUUAUAAACUAAAUAAAAAUGUGUUUCUCGACAAGGUCCGCCCAUUCAAGAUCGUAAACUUCUAAAUAACUGCAAUAGUUGGCAACAUUUCUAAAUAUCUGAUAUAUUUAGAAAAUCGCAAGGUAGGGCUUUUAAAACAUAUGGUAAUCCCUCGUGAUUUUUUGGUGUUAUAUCGUAAGAAAUGGCUUUCAAAUUAGUACAAAAUUAGGUAGGAACUUUUAUCUAUUAAAUGUGCUAUUUUAUCCACUGGAUAAAAUAUAUUCAAAUUUCCAAAGUCAAAAAAAGGUGUUGUAUUAAAACCUUAAUAAGGUAGGGUUUCUUAAUAAGGUUUGCCCAAUCAAGAUCGUAAACUUCUCAAUAGCUGAAAUUGUUACCAAUUCGACAUGUAGGACUUUUAAAACAUAUGGUAAUCCCUAGUGACUUUUUGGGGUUAUUUCGUAAAAAAGUAUUAACGAAUUAAAGAAAAAUUAGGUAGGAACUUAAAUCGGUCGAACCUACUAUCUCCACUUCAUAAAUAUUUGCAAAAUUAAAAAAUCAAAAUAAGUGCUGUAUUAAAAACUGAAUAAGGUAGGGUGUCUUUAUAAGGUUUGCCCAUGCAAGAUCGUACACUUUUUAAUAUCUGAAAUAUUUAGAAAAUCGGAAGGUAGGGCUUUAAAAACAUAUGAUAAUCCCUCGUGAUUUUUUGGUGUUAUAUCGUAAGAAAUGGCUUACAAAUUAGUACAAAAUUAGAAAGGAACUUUAAUCUUUCAAACAGACUAUCUUCAUUUUAUAAAAAAUAUGCAAAUAUAUCAAAUUAAAAAAGGUGUUGUAUUAAAAACUAAAUUAGGUAGGGUUUCUAAAUAAGGUCCUCCUCAUCAAGAUCGGAAACUAAAUAACUCUUAAAACAUACGGUAUUCCCUCGAGAUCUUUUUAGUGUUAUUUCGUAAAAAAUGAUUUAUAAAUCAGAACAAAAUUACGUAGGAACUUAAAUCGGUCGAACUGACUAUCUCGACUUCAUAAAAUAUAUGCAAAAUUAAAAAAAUCAAAAAUAGUGUGGUAUUGAAAACCAAACUAGGUAGGGUGUCUUAAUAAAAUGCCAAGCUGCAAAAUUAGGUAGGGUUUCUAAAUAAGGUCCUCCUCAUCAAGAUCGGAAACUAAAUAACUCUUAAAACAUACGGUAUUCCCUCGAGAUUUUUUAGUGUUAUUUCGUAAAAAAUGAUUUACGAAUUAGAACAAAAUUAGGUACGAACUUAAAUCGGUCGAACUGACUAUCUCGACUUCAUAAAAUAUAAGCAAAAUUAAAAAAAUCAAAAAUAGUGUGGUAUUAAAAACCAAACUAGGUAGGGUGUCUUAAUAAAAUUUGCCCAUGCGAACCUUUCUUCCAUUCAAGAUCGUAAACUUUUGUAUAACUAUAUUCCUCGUGAAUUUUUGGUAAUAUUUCGUAAAAAUGGUUUAAAAAAUAGUACAAAAUUAGGUAGGAACUUUAGUCUGCCACGCUGAUUACCUACAAUUCAUAAAAUAUAAAACUUUCUCCACAUAAUAAAAAAUUUAACAAAUCUAAAAAGUUGUUGUAUUGACAACUACAUUUUGAAAGGUUAUUUUAUAUGGCAAGCACAUUAAAGAUCGUAAUUUGGGAGGAAGGACUUUUAAAUACUACGGUAAUUCCUUGUGAUUUUGGUUUUAUUUCAUACAAAAUUAUCUGUUAACCAGUAACAAUUUCGUUGAAAAUGAAAUGUGUCAAACUGACUUUCUCCAAAUGAUAAAAAUAUGCAAAUUUUAAAAAUCUAAAAAGGUGUUUUAUAAACUAAAUAAAAAUGUGUUUCUCGACAAGGUCCGCCCAUUCAAGAUCGUAAACUUCUAAAUAACUGCAAUAGUUGGCAACAUUUCUAAAUAUCUGAUAUAUUUAGAAAAUCGCAAGGUAGGGCUUUUAAAACAUAUGGUAAUCCCUCGUGAUUUUUUGGUGUUAUAUCGUAAGAAAUGGCUUUCAAAUUAGUACAAAAUUAGGUAGGAACUUUUAUCUAUUAAAUGUGCUAUUUUAUCCACUGGAUAAAAUAUAUUCAAAUUUCCAAAGUCAAAAAAAGGUGUUGUAUUAAAACCUUAAUAAGGUAGGGUUUCUUAAUAAGGUUUGCCCAAUCAAGAUCGUAAACUUCUCAAUAGCUGAAAUUGUUACCAAUUCGACAUGUAGGACUUUUAAAACAUAUGGUAAUCCCUAGUGACUUUUUGGGGUUAUUUCGUAAAAAAGUAUUAACGAAUUAAAGAAAAAUUAGGUAGGAACUUAAAUCGGUCGAACCUACUAUCUCCACUUCAUAAAUAUUUGCAAAAUUAAAAAAUCAAAAUAAGUGCUGUAUUAAAAACUGAAUAAGGUAGGGUGUCUUUAUAAGGUUUGCCCAUGCAAGAUCGUACACUUUUUAAUAUCUGAAAUAUUUAGAAAAUCGGAAGGUAGGGCUUUAAAAACAUAUGAUAAUCCCUCGUGAUUUUUUGGUGUUAUAUCGUAAGAAAUGGCUUACAAAUUAGUACAAAAUUAGAAAGGAACUUUAAUCUUUCAAACAGACUAUCUUCAUUUUAUAAAAGAUAUGCAAAUAUAUCAAAUUAAAAAAGGUGUUGUAUUAAAAACUAAAUUAGGUAGGGUUUCUAAAUAAGGUCCUCCUCAUCAAGAUCGGAAACUAAAUAACUCUUAAAACAUACGGUAUUCCCUCGAGAUCUUUUUAGUGUUAUUUCGUAAAAAAUGAUUUAUAAAUCAGAACAAAAUUAGGUAGGAACUUAAAUCGGUCGAACUGACUAUCUCCACUUCAUAAAUAUUUGCAAAAUUAAAAAAUCAAAAUAAGUGCUGUAUUAAAAACUGAAUAAGGUAGGGUGUCUUUAUAAGGUUUGCCCAUGCAAGAUCGUACACUUUUUAAUAUCUGAAAUAUUUAGAAAAUCGGAAGGUAGGGCUUUAAAAACAUAUGAUAAUCCCUCGUGAUUUUUUGGUGUUAUACCGUAAGAAAUGGCUUACAAAUUAGUACAAAAUUAGGUAGGAACUUUUAUCUAUUAAAUGUGCUAUCUCCACCGGAUAAAAUAUAUUCAAAUUUCCAAAGUCAAAAAAAGGUGUUGUAUUAAAACCUUAAUAAGGUAGGGGUUCUAAAUAAGAUUUGCCCAAUCAAGAUCGUGAACUUCUCAAUAGCUGAAAUUGUUACCAAUUCGACAGGUAGCACUUUUAAAACAUAUGUUAAUCACUCGUGACUAUUUGGGGUUAUGUUGUAAAAAAUUAUUAACGAAUUAGAGAAAAAUUAGGUAGGAACUUAAAUCGGUCGAACUGACUAUCUCCACUUCAUAAAUAUUUGCAAAAUUAAAAAAUCAAAAUAAGUGCUGUAUUAAAAACUGAAUAAGGUAUUGUGUCUUUAUAAGGUUUGCCCAUGCAAGAUCGUACACUUUUUAAUAUCUGAAAUAUUUAGAAAAUCGGAAGGUAGGGCUUUAAAAACAUAUGAUAAUCCUUCGUGAUUUUUUGGUGUUAUAUCGUAAGAAAUGGCUUACAAAUUAGUAGAAAAUUAGAUAGGAACUUUAAUCUUUCAAACAGACUAUCUUCAUUUUAUAAAAAAUAUGCAAAUAUAUCAAAUUAAAAAAGGUGUUGUAUUAAAAACUAAAUUAGGUAGGGUUUCUAAAUAAGGUUCUCCUCGUCAAGUUCGGAAACUAAAUAACUCUUAAAACAUACGGUAUUCCCUUGAGAUUUUUUAGUGUUAUUUCGUAAAAAAUGAUUACGAAUUAGAACAAAAUUGCGAAGGAACUUAAAUCGGUCGAACUGACUCUCUCCACUUCAUAAAUAUUUGCAAACUUAAAAAAUCAAAAUAAGUGCUGUAUUGAAAACUGAAGGUUUGCCCAUGCAAGAUCGUACACUUUUUAAUAUCUGAAAUAUUUAGAAAAUCGCAAGGUAGGGCUUUAAAAACAUAUGAUAAUCCCUCGUGAUUUUUUGGUGUUAUAUCGUAAGAAAUGGCUUAGAAAUUAGAACAAAAUUAGAUAGGAAAUUUAAUCUUUCAAACAGACUAUCUUCAUUUUAUAAAAAAUAUGCAAAUAUAUCAAAUUAAAAAAGGUGUUGCAUUAAAAACUAAAUUAGGUAAAGUUUCUAAAUAAGGUCCUCCUCGUCAAGUUCGGAAACUAAAUAACUCUUAAAACAUAGGGUAAUCCCUCGUGAUUUUUUGGUUUUAUAUCGUAAGAAAUGGCUUUCAAAUUAGUACAAAAUUAGGUAGGGACUUUUAUCUAUUAAACUAGCUAUCUCCACUGGAUAAAAUAUAUUCAAAUUUCCAAAAUCAAAAAAAGGUGUUAUAUUAAAAUCUUAAUAAUGUAGGGUUUCUUAAUAAGGUUUGCCCAAUCAAGAUCGUAAACGUCUCAAUAGCUGAAAUUGUUACUAAUUCGACAGGUAGGACUUUUAAAACAUAUGGUAAUCCCUCGUGACUUUUUGGGGUUAUUUCGUAAAAAAUUAUUAACGAAUUAGAGAAAAAUUAGGUAGGAACUUAAAUCGGUCGAACUGACCAUCUCCACUUCAUAAAUAUAAUAUUUGCAAAACUAAAAAAUCAAAAUAAGUGCUGUAUUAAAAACUGAAUAAGGUAGGGUGUCUUUAUAAGGUUUGCCCAUGCAAGAUCGUACACUUUUUAAUAUCUGAAAUAUUUAGAAAAUCGCAAGGUAGGGCUUUUAAAACAUAUGGUAAUCCCUCGUGAUUUUUAUACCCUUGCAGAGGGUAUUAUAAUUUUGGUCAAAAGUGUGCAACGCAGUGAAGGAGACAUCUCCGACCCUAUAAAG